rnacentral:lncRNA from 12 species
UUGCAAAGGACAAAUAUUGUAUGAUUCCUCUUAGAUGAGGUCCCUAGAGUAGUCAAAUUCCAGAACAGAAAGUAGAAUGGUAAUUGCCAAGAGCUGGAGGUGGGGCAGGGGGAAUGGGAAGUUAGUGUUUAAUGACUAAAUAAAGUUAGUGUUUAAUGAAGUUAGAAUUACAGCUGGGAAGAUGAAAAAGUCCCAGAGAUGAAUGGUAGUGACAGUUGCACAAUAAUGUAAGUACUUACUACCACACCAAUGUGCACUUAAAAAUGGUCCAAACAGUAGAUUUUCUGUUAUGUAUAUUUUACCAAUCACACAAAAAAUAGCUUUGUGAAGGAGUCAAAGGUGGUAUUCUGUCCCACAAAGAAGUAUACUCUUCUAGUACUAAAGCCUACUGGUUUUGAGUCUUCAGAAUAUACCAGGUACCAAGUAAACAUUUUUUUAAGGGUUUGUUUAUUCAUUCAUGAGAGACACAGAGAGAGAGGCAGAGACGUAGGCAGAGGGAGAAGCAGGCUCCACGCAGGGUGAGACUCAAUCCCUGGACCCCGGGAUCACACCCUGAGCCAAAGGCAGAUGUUCAACCACUGAGCCAUCCACGUGCCCCAUCAAUUAAAUAGCUAAUAUGCAUUAUUUUACUUUCUUCCUCAGCCACCCUGAGGCUGGUACUACUUUUACCUUCAUUGUAAAGAGCAGAAAACUGAGGCAUGAAGAGAUUUAGGUGACUUGCCCACAGUCUCCAGCUGAGAAGGAAGUCAGCAGUGGAACUCACAGUGGUUGGCUUCCAAGCCCAACCUUUAGCCCUCCUGCUGUACCCUCGUGCUAGCGAAAGACAAAUCCGUUGACUGGGCAGGCCACAACACAUGCACCUGAUGCCACCACUCUGCCUCUAGCUGUAAGCUGUCGACCGAAAACAAGGGGGUUGCUGUGAUGAGAACAUGGCUGGGGGUGUGCGCCAGGCAGGACAACGCCAAGAAGCCAAAAAGAACAAGAGGGAAAACAAUGAAGUGAGAUCCACCCAGAUGACUGUCAUGGAGAUAGUCAGAAGCCUGACCAUUUCUUGGAAGGAAGACCUCCAGACUGACCUCCCUGUCUCUCCACCCCAACUUGGCCAUCAGGAAUCACCUGGCAAGCUAUGCCCAGGUACUAGUGAUCACAGGCUGGUACCUUUGCUACCUGAUAACACAAUAAUCCUGUGAUUUAGAUCCUUCAUUUUGCCUCUGAGACUUAAGAGUGGAGAAGUCACUCUCCCAAGGUAACUGAACUUGUCAGUAGGAAUAUCUAGGAUUCAUACCCAGGCUGGUCUAAUGUUCUAGCCAAGUUCCUGUCACUCUCUUUCAGAAGGUGAUCUGAAGUUAGACCUAUGACUUUGUGUUUCUGUGUUGCAGAAACUAUAGAAAUGCCAAAUCUCCACUGUUUAAGAGCCUGAGGCGGAAGGAGAAGCAAGUAAAAUUAUGAUUUGGUAUUUGAAAAUCAUGUGAUUUUUUAUUUUCACACUGAUGCUAAAAGAUUGGCUAUUAUUUUAGUGGGAUACUCAUCUCUUUGGCCUUCAACCUUUCAAGAUAGAUUCCACAUCUUUAGGGGCUAUUUUCAUACUGGGUCCUAUCUGAGGCUCUGGUUUGUUGUCCCAUGGUCUUAACUAAUAUUUACCAAUCUUGGGGAAAGGAAGAGGGAAAAGCAAAAAGGACAUAAGUAUACGGUUUGAGAAAAUGGAAAGAUUUUUAGGUUACAAGUUUUAUUGUAACCAGCUAACUUUAUACAAACACAGCAUCCAGUGGACUUAAAAUUCUAAUCCUUUAUAUCAUGCUAAAUCGAUUUUUGGUUCAUAUCAGUGAAUAGAUCCAGUUUUACAGUUUUUGUUCAAUAUUAUUUUCCAUAUAGAGUUCCAUAUAUUUACAUACUUUCUUCUAAUUUUUUAAGCACAUAUAAUCUUAUUUCAUUUUUUAAAUUCUCUUCUUCUUUUCUUCUUCUUCUUCUUCUUCUUCUUCUUCUUCUUCUUCUUCUUCUUCUUCUUCUUCUUCUUUUCUUCUUCUUCUCCUUCUCAGAGAGAGAGAGAGAGAGCCCAGAGCAGGGGCAGAGGGAGAAGGAGAGAGAGAAUCUUAAGUAGGCUUCAUGCCCCCAAUAUGGGGCUCAAUUUCCAACCCUGAGGUCGUAACCGGAACCAAAAUCAAGAGUCCACUGCUUAACUGACUGAGCCAGCCAGGUGCCUCUGAUCUUAUUUAAUUCUUGCCAUCACCCUGUUAAGUUGAAAAUUUUAUUUUGUGGCCGAGAGAGGUUAAGGAACUAGCCCAAGGUCACAAGUCUAGUGUAGAGCUGGGACCCGGACAUACUUUCAGUGGCUCUGGAGCACCCCAUGUUUUGAUAUUGGUUAGAGUCACAAAGAUUUUUCUAAAGACAAAAGGUUCUCCACCUGAAAAGAAAAUGAUCCAUCAACAUUUACCUUCUUGAGACCCAGGUUUUUCAUCUCUUUUUUCACUUGAUCACCAGUUUCCAUGGCCAUCAGGGUGCUCAUGUAAAUAACUACACAGGACGGUCACUCGUUUCUCACAGCAAUGUGCGGAGAUGAUGUUUGUUCUUUUGUUCAUUUGAUCAUCAUCAUUCAUUCAUUAAUUAACUCAUUUAUCCAACAGCCCUGUGAAGAAGAACCACUAUAGUGUUAACACUAAUGGGCAGAACAAUCCUCCAGUGAUCCCUCAUGUGGUUUGUUACUUGGAGACUGUCGCUCACUAGACUCCUCACAUCUAUGCAAGGGACGAGUAAAGAAUAUUCUAAAUUAAUUGGUAGCUUAGGGUGUAAGUGCACGAAAACAUUUUAAAAUUCUAAUUUUUAUGCCUUUUGGGGGCCUUGUGCUAUUUGUGUGUAUAUGGACUUACAAACAGAUAUGCGUGCUUGCUGUAAAAUAUUGCAACAUUGCUGACAUAUGUGAUACAGAGAGUGAGAAUCUCCAGGAGUUAGGAACCACCCUCUGACCCACACUGGAGAAGGCUAAUCCUUCCAUUCUAUGUAUAGGACAACAUUAUGUUAUAUAUACUAAAUCUGUAUAGAUGAUGUUAAUGUAAAGUUGCAGGAAUCUUGUUUUGGAUUUCAACUUUUUUCUAUGCAUAAUUAAGUGUAUUUAAAAUGCUUUAAAAUAAAUUAUGAGUCAUACCUCA